CAGUAGCCACGGUAAUACGUAGGUCCCGAGCGUUGUCCGGAUUUAUUGGGCGUAAAGGGAGCGCAGGCGGUUUAGUAAGUCUGGAGUUAAAGGCAUUGGCUCAACCAAUGUAUGCUUUGGAAACUGUUUGACUUGAGUGCAGAAGGGGAGAGUGGAAUUCCAUGUGUAGCGGAGAAAUGCGUAGAUAUAUGGAGGAACACCGGUGGCGAAAGCGGCUCUCUGGUCUGUCACUGACGCUGAGGCUCGAAAGCGUGGGUAGCGAACAGGAUUAGAUACCCCAGUAGUCCCUGUCUCUUAUACC
rnacentral:rRNA from 1 species